rnacentral:rRNA from 1 species
AUACAUGCAGUCGAACGCGUUGGCCCAAUUGAUUGAUGGUGCUUGCACCUGAUUGAUUUUGGUCGCCAACGAGUGGCGGACGGGUGAGUAACACGUAGGUAACCUGCCCAGAAGCGGGGGACAACAUUUGGAAACAGAUGCUAAUACCGCAUAACAGCGUUGUUCGCAUGAACAACGCUUAAAAGAUGGCUUCUCGCUAUCACUUCUGGAUGGACCUGCGGUGCAUUAGCUUGUUGGUGGGGUAACGGCCUACCAAGGCGAUGAUGCAUAGCCGAGUUGAGAGACUGAUCGGCCACAAUGGGACUGAGACACGGCCCAUACUCCUACGGGAGGCAGCAGUAGGGAAUCUUCCACAAUGGGCGCAAGCCUGAUGGAGCAACACCGCGUGAGUGAAGAAGGGUUUCGGCUCGUAAAGCUCUGUUGUUAAAGAAGAACACGUAUGAGAGUAACUGUUCAUACGUUGACGGUAUUUAACCAGAAAGUCACGGCUAACUACGUGCCAGCAGCCGCGGUAAUACGUAGGUGGCAAGCGUUAUCCGGAUUUAUUGGGCGUAAAGAGAGUGCAGGCGGUUUUCUAAGUCUGAUGUGAAAGCCUUCGGCUUAACCGGAGAAGUGCAUCGGAAACUGGAUAACUUGAGUGCAGAAGAGGGUAGUGGAACUCCAUGUGUAGCGGUGGAAUGCGUAGAUAUAUGGAAGAACACCAGUGGCGAAGGCGGCUACCUGGUCUGCAACUGACGCUGAGACUCGAAAGCAUGGGUAGCGAACAGGAUUAGAUACCCUGGUAGUCCAUGCCGUAAACGAUGAGUGCUAGGUGUUGGAGGGUUUCCGCCCUUCAGUGCCGGAGCUAACGCAUUAAGCACUCCGCCUGGGGAGUACGACCGCAAGGUUGAAACUCAAAGGAAUUGACGGGGGCCCGCACAAGCGGUGGAGCAUGUGGUUUAAUUCGAAGCUACGCGAAGAACCUUACCAGGUCUUGACAUCUUGCGCCAACCCUAGAGAUAGGGCGUUUCCUUCGGGAACGCAAUGACAGGUGGUGCAUGGUCGUCGUCAGCUCGUGUCGUGAGAUGUUGGGUUAAGUCCCGCAACGAGCGCAACCCUUGUUACUAGUUGCCAGCAUUAAGUUGGGCACUCUAGUGAGACUGCCGGUGACAAACCGGAGGAAGGUGGGGACGACGUCAGAUCAUCAUGCCCCUUAUGACCUGGGCUACACACGUGCUACAAUGGACGGUACAACGAGUCGCGAACUCGCGAGGGCAAGCAAAUCUCUUAAAACCGUUCUCAGUUCGGACUGCAGGCUGCAACUCGCCUGCACGAAGUCGGAAUCGCUAGUAAUCGCGGAUCAGCAUGCCGCGGUGAAUACGUUCCCGGGCCUUGUACACACCGCCCGUCACACCAUGAGAGUUUGUAACACCCAAAGUCGGUGGGGUAACCUUUUAGGAGCCAGC